GGGGAUUUAGCUCAGUGGUAGAGCGCUUGCCUAGGAAGCGAAGCGCAAAGCCCUGGGUUCGGUCCCCAGCUCCG
rfam:Rattus norvegicus chromosome 2, whole genome shotgun sequence.